CCAGUGUGAUUCGUCACACUAUCAUUAACUGAAUCCAUAGGUUAAUGAGGCGAACCGGGGGAACUGAAACAUCUAAGUACCCCGAGGAAAAGAAAUCAACCGAGAUUCCCCCAGUAGCGGCGAGCGAACGGGGAGGAGCCCAGAGCCUGAAUCAGCAUGUGUGUUAGUGGAAGCGUCUGGAAAGGCGCGCGAUACAGGGUGACAGCCCCGUACACAAAAGCGCAUGUGCUGUGAGCUCGAUGAGUAGGGCGGGACACGUGGUAUCCUGUCUGAAUAUGGGGGGACCAUCCUCCAAGGCUAAAUACUCCUGACUGACCGAUAGUGAACCAGUACCGUGAGGGAAAGGCGAAAAGAACCCCGGCGAGGGGAGUGAAAAAGAACCUGAAACCGUGUACGUACAAGCAGUGGGAGCACCCUUUGGGUGUGACUGCGUACCUUUUGUAUAAUGGGUCAGCGACUUAUAUUCUGUAGCAAGGUUAACCGAAUAGGGGAGCCGGAGGGAAACCGAGUCUUAACCGGGCGUUAAGUUGCAGGGUAUAGACCCGAAACCCGGUGAUCUAGCCAUGGGCAGGUUGAAGGUUGGGUAACACUAACUGGAGGACCGAACCGACUAAUGUUGAAAAAUUAGCGGAUGACCUGUGGCUGGGGGUGAAAGGCCAAUCAAACCGGGAGAUAGCUGGUUCUCCCCGAAAGCUAUUUAGGUAGCGCCUCGUGAAUUCAUCUCCGGGGGUAGAGCACUGUUUCGGCUAGGGGGCCAUCCCGGCUUACCAACCCGAUGCAAACUGCGAAUACCGGAGAAUGUUAUCACGGGAGACACACGGCGGGUGCUAACGUCCGUCGUGAAGAGGGAAACAACCCAGACCGCCAGCUAAGGUCCCAAAGUCAUGGUUAAGUGGGAAACGAUGUGGGAAGGCCCAGACAGCCAGGAUGUUGGCUUAGAAGCAGCCAUCAUUUAAAGAAAGCGUAAUAGCUCACUGGUCGAGUCGGCCUGCGCGGAAGAUGUAACGGGGCUAAACCAUGCACCGAAGCUGCGGCAGCGACACUGUGUGUUGUUGGGUAGGGGAGCGUUCUGUAAGCCUGCGAAGGUGGCCUGUGAGGGUUGCUGGAGGUAUCAGAAGUGCGAAUGCUGACAUAAGUAACGAUAAAGCGGGUGAAAAGCCCGCUCGCCGGAAGACCAAGGGUUCCUGUCCAACGUUAAUCGGGGCAGGGUGAGUCGACCCCUAAGGCGAGGCCGAAAGGCGUAGUCGAUGGGAAACGGGUUAAUAUUCCCGUACUUGGUGUUACUGCGAAGGGGGGACGGAGAAGGCUAUGUUGGCCGGGCGACGGUUGUCCCGGUUUAAGCGUGUAGGUGUGUGUUCCAGGUAAAUCCGGUUCACUUUAACACUGAGGCGUGACGACGAGGCACUACGGUGCUGAAGCAACAAAUGCCCUGCUUCCAGGAAAAGCCUCUAAGCAUCAGGUAACAUCAAAUCGUACCCCAAACCGACACAGGUGGUCAGGUAGAGAAUACCAAGGCGCUUGAGAGAACUCGGGUGAAGGAACUAGGCAAAAUGGUGCCGUAACUUCGGGAGAAGGCACGCUGACACGUAGGUGAAGUGAUUUACUCAUGGAGCUGAAGUCAGUCGAAGAUACCAGCUGGCUGCAACUGUUUAUUAAAAACACAGCACUGUGCAAACACGAAAGUGGACGUAUACGGUGUGACGCCUGCCCGGUGCCGGAAGGUUAAUUGAUGGGGUCAGCGCAAGCGAAGCUCCUGAUCGAAGCCCCGGUAAACGGCGGCCGUAACUAUAACGGUCCUAAGGUAGCGAAAUUCCUUGUCGGGUAAGUUCCGACCUGCACGAAUGGCGUAAUGAUGGCCAGGCUGUCUCCACCCGAGACUCAGUGAAAUUGAACUCGCUGUGAAGAUGCAGUGUACCCGCGGCAAGACGGAAAGACCCCGUGAACCUUUACUAUAGCUUGACACUGAACAUUGAGCCUUGAUGUGUAGGAUAGGUGGGAGGCUUUGAAGUGUGGACGCCAGUCUGCAUGGAGCCGACCUUGAAAUACCACCCUUUAAUGUUUGAUGUUCUAACGUGGACCCGUUACCCGGGUUGCGGACAGUGUCUGGUGGGUAGUUUGACUGGGGCGGUCUCCUCCUAAAGAGUAACGGAGGAGCACGAAGGUUGGCUAAUCCUGGUCGGACAUCAGGAGGUUAGUGCAAUGGCAUAAGCCAGCUUGACUGCGAGCGUGACGGCGCGAGCAGGUGCGAAAGCAGGUCAUAGUGAUCCGGUGGUUCUGAAUGGAAGGGCCAUCGCUCAACGGAUAAAAGGUACUCCGGGGAUAACAGGCUGAUACCGCCCAAGAGUUCAUAUCGACGGCGGUGUUUGGCACCUCGAUGUCGGCUCAUCACAUCCUGGGGCUGAAGUAGGUCCCAAGGGUAUGGCUGUUCGCCAUUUAAAGUGGUACGCGAGCUGGGUUUAGAACGUCGUGAGACAGUUCGGUCCCUAUCUGCCGUGGGCGCUGGAGAACUGAGGGGGGCUGCUCCUAGUACGAGAGGACCGGAGUGGACGCAUCACUGGUGUUCGGGUUGUCAUGCCAAUGGCACUGCCCGGUAGCUAAAUGCGGAAGAGAUAAGUGCUGAAAGCAUCUAAGCACGAAACUUGCCCCGA
rnacentral:rRNA from 1 species